rnacentral:misc_RNA from 1 species
GAUGAAGAACGUAGCGAAAUGCGAUAAGUAAUGUGAAUUGCAGAAUUCAGUGAAUCAUCGAAUCUUUGAACGCACCUUGCACCCUUUGGACUGCUCCAAAGGGUAUGCUCGUUUGAGUGUCAUUGUACUCUCACACUCUCUGAUCCUUUGGAUUUGGGGAGCAGUGGACUUGGGUGCUUGCUGCUUCCUUGUGGCUCACCUGAAAUGCAUCAGUGCAUCUCUCGAUUGGACAUAGUACGGCGUGAUAAGUGUCUUCGCCGGCACCUCAUAUGAGGGUGGCCGAUCGGGAGCUCUGUGCUUUCAAACCGUCUUCGGACAACGCUGACAACUUGACCUCAAAUCGAGUAGGACUACCCGCUGAACUUAAGCAUAUCAAAAGCGGAGGA